CACCAGCCGCUAAGACCGCACCUCAGUUUAGCCUUCUUUACUGGGCCCUCGGCCCCCCGACUGUCUCCUCCUGGGGUCGGGCAAUCUGUCCAUCCGCGUCGGUGACGCCGUCCAUCCAGCCGGCGUCCACAAUCCGUCGGUCGGCACCUCGGCGAUGGCCUGUCGGGGUGGCCAGAGGUCCCGGCGCGGAGUACCCCUAAAGGAGGGGCAUCAGCAGCCUUUGUUCCUGAUGAGAAACCAAAGCCCAGAGAAGUGAAGAGACUCGCUCAAGGUCACACAGCAGAUAAGCGGCCAAAGAUUCAAACACAGAUGUGACCCACCCCAAAGUCAUAGCUCACCUCCCUGCUGUUCUCUGAUAUGUCCCCUGUUCCUAUCCUCUAUGGUAUUUCCCACUAGUCAUAUAUAAAACAAAAGAAGUCGGGACUUCCUUGGUGGCGCAGUGGUUAAGAAUCCGCCUGCCAAUGCAGGGAACACAGGUUCAAGCCCUGGUCUGGGAAGAUCCCACAUGCUGCGGAGCAACUAAGCCCAUAUGCCACAACUAUUGAGCCUGCUUUCUAGAGCCUGCGAGCCACAACUACUGAAGCCCACGCGCCACAACUACUGAAGCCCACGCACCUAGAGCCCAUGCUCCACAGCAAGAGAAGCCACCGCAAUGAGAAGCCCAUGCACCACAAUGAAGAGUAGCCCCAGCUCACUGCAAUGAGAGAAAGCCCAGCAAAGAAGACCCAACACAGCCAAAAUAAUAAACAAAUAAAAUUAAAUUUUAAAAAAAUUUAAAAAAGAACAAAAGAAGUCUAUAGUAA